UGAGAUACUACUCUUGUCGGCU
rnacentral:snRNA from 1 species